GGUUGAUCCUGCCAGUCACAUUCGCUUGUCUCAAAGAUUAAGCCAUGCAUGUCUAAGUAUAAACCACACAUUUGUACGGGUGAAACUGCGAAUGGCUCAUUAUAUCAGUUGCAAUUUAUUUGAUGAAGCCUUGCCACAUGGAUAACCUGGGCAAAUCUCCGGCUAAUACAUGCACGAAAGCCAAAGCCAGCAAUGCGCGAUGGCUGUAUUUAUUAGGUAAAAACCAACCCCGGGCGACCGGGCCACGCUUGGUGAUUCAGAAUAAACGUACGAACCGCACGUCCUCACGUGA
rnacentral:rRNA from 1 species